rnacentral:rRNA from 1 species
AGUGAACGCUGGCGGUAGGCCUAACACAUGCAAGUCGAACGGCAGCACAGUAAGAGCUUGCUCUUACGGGUGGCGAGUGGCGGACGGGUGAGGAAUACAUCGGAAUCUACUUUUUCGUGGGGGAUAAGGUAGGGAAACUUACGCUAAUACCGCAUACGACCUACGGGUGAAAGCAGGGGAUCUUCGGACCUUGCGGGAUUGAAUGAGCCGAUGCCGGAUUAGCUAGUUGGCCGGGUAAAGGCCCACCAAGGCGACGAUCCGUAGCUGGUCUGAGAGGAAGAUCAGCCACACUGGAACUGAGACACGGUCCAGACGCCUACGGGAGGCAGCAGUGGGGAAUAGUGGACAGUGGGCGCAAGCCUGAUCCAGUCAUACCGCGUGGGUGAAGAAGGCCUUCGGGUUGUAAAGCCCUUUUGUUGGGAAAGAAAAGCAGCAGGUUAAUACCCCGCUGUUCUGACGGUACCCAAAGAAGAAGCACCGGCUAACUUCGUG